rfam:Chlorocebus sabaeus isolate 1994-021 chromosome 23, whole genome shotgun sequence.
GCUGGGUGUGAUAGCUCACGCCUGUAACCCCAGAACUCUGGGAGGCUGAGGUGGGUGGAUCACCUGAGGUCAGGAGUUCGAGACCAGCCUGACCAAUAUGGUGAAACCCCAUCUCUA